CUGCAUGUGGUAUAUCAUGAAGGAUUGAACGUUUCGUUUCUUUCUGUUCCCAUCCCAGGUGUUGGAUGUCUGUAUCACAUGCUAGAAUAAAUAUGGAGUUUAAUGGGAUGCUAGUCUUCUAGUACAGGCUGAGUGGUAGUGUCCUCCUCCUACAUCC
ensembl:snoRNA